UAGGGAAUCUUCGGCAAUGGGGGGAACCCUGACCGAGCAACGCCGCGUGAGUGAAGAAGGUUUUCGGAUCGUAAAGCUCUGUUGUUAAGGAAGAACGAGUGUGAGAAUGGAAAGUUCAUGCUGUGACGGUACUUAACCAGAAAGGGACGGCUAACUACUUUCCAGCAGCCGCGGUAAUACGUAGGUCCCGAGUGUUGUCCGGAUUUAUUGGGCGUAAAGCGAGCGCAGGAGGUUAGAAAAGUCUGAAGUGAAAGGCAGUGGCUCAACGAUGGUAUGCUUUGGAGACUGUUUGACUGGAGUGCAGAAGGGGAGAGUGGAAAUCCAUGUGUAGCAGUGAAAUGCGUAGAUAUAUGGAGGAACACCGAUGGCGAAAGCGGCUCUCUGGUCUGUAACUGACGCUGAGGCUCGAAAGCGUGGGGAGCGAACAGG
rnacentral:rRNA from 1 species